rnacentral:rRNA from 1 species
AUUGCACGCUGGCGGCAGGCCUAACACCUGCAAGUCGAGCGAGCGGCGGACGGGUGAGUAAUGUCUGGGAAACUGCCUGAUGGAGGGGGAUCCCUACUUGCACCGGUAGCUACUCCCGCAUCCCAUCAGAUGUGCCCCGAUGGGAUUAGCUAGUAGGUGGGGUAACGGCUCACCUAGGCGACGCGCCCUAGCUGGUCUGAGAGGAUUACCAGUAACACUGGAACGGAGACACGGUGCAGACUCCUCCGGGAGGCAGCAGUGGGGAAUAUUGCACAAUGGGCGCAAGCCUGGUGCAGCCAUGCCGCGUGUGUGAAGAAGGCCUUCGGGUUGUAAAGCACUUUCAGCGGGGAGGCGUUACCCGCAGAAGAAGCACCGGCUAACUCCGUGCCAGCAGCCGCGGUAAUUC